GACGAACGCUGGCGGCGUGCUUAACACAUGCAAGUCGAACGAAGUGGCGCACGGGUGAGUAACGCGUAAUCAACCUGCCCUUCAGAGGGGGACAACAGUUGGAAACGACUGCUAAUACCGCAUACGCAAGGAGGGGGUUUCGUGUGAUUAGCUAGUUGGAGGGUGAACGGCCCACCAAGGCGAUGAUCAGGAGCAGGUCUGGGAGGAUGAGCAGCCACAUUGGGACUGGGACACGGCCCAGGCUCCUACGGGAGGCAGAAGUGGGGAAUCUUCCGAAAUGGACGAAAGUCUGACGGAGCAACGCCGCGUGAGUGAUGACGGCCUUCGGGUUGUAAAGCUCUGUUAAUCGGGACGCGGUACCGGAAUAGAAAGCCACGGCUAACUCCGUGCCAGCAGCCGCGGUAAUUC
rnacentral:rRNA from 1 species